rnacentral:rRNA from 1 species
AUUGAACGCUGGCGGCAGGCCUAACACAUGCAAGUCGAGCGGAUGAAGGGAGCUUGCUCCUGGCUUCAGCGGCGGACGGGUGAGUAAUGCCUAGGAAUCUGCCUGGUAGUGGUGGAUUACGUCCGGAAACGGGCGCUAAUACCGCAUACGUCCUGAGGGGGAAAGUGGGGGAUCUUCGGACCUCACGCUAUCAGAUGAGACUAGGUCGGAUUAGCUAGUUGGUGGGGUAAAGGCCUACCACGGCGACGAUCCGUAACUGGUCUGAGAGGAUGAUCAGUCACACUGGAACUGAGACACGGUCCAGACUCCGACGGGAGGCAGCAGUGGGGAAUACUGGACAAUGGGCGAAAGCCUGAUCCAGCCAUGCCGCGUGUGUGAAGAAGGUCUUCGGAUGGUAAAGCACUUUAAGUUGGGAGGAAGGGCAGUAAGUUAAUACCUUGCUGUGUUGACGUUACCAACAGAAUAAGCACCGGCUAACUUCGUG